UACGUAGGGGGCUAGCGUUGUCCGGAAUCAUUGGGCGUAAAGAGCGUGUAGGCGGUCCGGUAAGUCCGCUGUGAAAGUCGGGGGCUCAACCCUCGAAUGCCGGUGGAUACUGUCGGGCUAGAGUGCGGAAGAGGCGAGUGGAAUUCCUGGUGUAGCGGUGAAAUGCGCAGAUAUCAGGAGGAACACCUAUUGCGAAGGCAGCUCGCUGGGACGUGACUGACGCUGAGGAGCGAAAGCAUGGGGAGCGAACAGG
rnacentral:rRNA from 1 species